CUUAUAGCCGUUGUAUGUUAUUUUGUUCAUGUAGAUGGAAGCUAGUUGGAUGGUUCAAUUUAUUGGAUGCUUGGUGGUGAAUGUUCAAGGUUGGAGAUAUUAGAGGUUUUUUUUUUUUUUUGUAGAUAAAUGAAGGCGUAGUUAGUGAUGAUUCAAUUGUAAUGUCUUUUGAUGAAAUAUCAAACAAGAUGUUUGACUUUUAUUAUAUCAAUCGAGUUUUUAUUAAUGGUUUCUGAGUAUUGUUUGGUUAUUUGAUAUUUAAGUAUUUAAUUUUAUCAC
rnacentral:lncRNA from 1 species